rnacentral:rRNA from 1 species
UACGUAGGGGGCUAGCGUUGUCCGGAUUUAUUGGGCGUAAAGAGCGUGUAGGCGGCCAGGUAGGUCUGCUGUGAAAACUCGAGGCUCAACCUCGAGACGUCGGCGGAAACCAUCUGGCUAGAGUCCGGAAGAGGAGAGUGGAAUUCCUGGUGUAGCGGUGAAAUGCGCAGAUAUCAGGAAGAACACCCGUGGCGAAGGCGGCUCUCGUGGGACGGUACUGACGCUGAGACGCGAAAGCGUGGGGAGCGAACAGG